rnacentral:rRNA from 1 species
CCGAGUUAUUCAACUCAUCAACCCUGUGAACUUACCUAUACGUUGCUUCGGCGGGAAUAGACGGCCCCGUAGAACGGGCCGCCCCCGCCAGAGGACCCUUAACUCUGUUUCUUUUAGUGUAUCUUCUGAGUAAAACAAGCAAAUAAAUUAAAACUUUCAACAACGGAUCUCUUGGCUCUGGCAUCGAUGAAGAACGCAGCGAAAUGCGAUAAGUAAUGUGAAUUGCAGAAUUCAGUGAAUCAUCGAAUCUUUGAACGCACAUUGCGCCCGCCAGUAUUCUGGCGGGCAUGCCUGUUCGAGCGUCAUUACAACCCUCAGGCCCCCGGGCCUGGCGUUGGGGAUCGGCGGAGCCCCCCGUGGGCACACGCCGUCCCCCAAAUACAGUGGCGGUCCCGCCGCAGCUUCCAUCGCGUAGUAGCUAACACCUCGCGACUGGAGAGCGGCGCGGCCACGCCGUAAAACACCCAACUCUUCUGAAAACAGGGAUUGCCCCAGUAACGGCGAGUGAAGCGGCAACAGCUCAAAUUUGAAAUCUGGCUCUCGGGCCCGAGUUGUAAUUUGUAGAGGAUGCUUUUGGUGAGGUGCCUUCCGAGUUCCCUGGAAUGGGACGCCAUAGAGGGUGAGAGCCCCGUCUGGUUGGACGCCGAACCUCUGUAAAGCUCCUUCGACGAGUCGAGUAGUUUGGGAAUGCUGCUCUAAAUGGGAGGUAUAUGUCUUCUAAAGCUAAAUACCGGCCAGAGACCGAUAGCGCACAAGUAGAGUGAUCGAAAGAUGAAAAGAACUUUGAAAAGAGAGUUAAACAGUACGUGAAAUUGUUGAAAGGGAAGCGCUUGUGACCAGACUUGGGCUUGGUUGAUCAUCCGGGGUUCUCCCCGGUGCACUCUUCCGGCCCAGGCCAGCAUCAGUUCGCCCUGGGGGACAAAGGCAUCGGGAACGUGGCUCUCUCCGGGGAGUGUUAU